GAUGAAGAACGCAGCGAAAUGCGAUAAGUAAUGUGAAUUGCAGAAUUCAGUGAAUCAUCGAGUCUUUGAACGCACAUUGCGCCCCCUGGUAUUCCGGGGGGCAUGCCUGUUCGAGCGUCAUUUGAAAACCCUCAAGCUCAGCUUGGUGUUGGGGUGCUGGCCUUCCCCGUCUUUCGAGACCUUUCGGGACGGCCUCCCCGAAAAUCAGCGGCGGAACCACCGGAGAUCCCAGCGCAGUGACAUUGCACCGCUGUUUUGGAACUCCGGGUUGGCCCCCGCCGGGCAACAAAUCCGAUUCUCGACGAUUGACCUCGAAUCAGGUAGGGAUACCCGCUGAACUUAAGCAUAUCAAUAAGCGGAGGA
rnacentral:misc_RNA from 1 species